ensembl:lncRNA
GGCUCAGUCAUGGCAGCUGCCAGUGAGACGCUCCUGAAUCCCGACAGUUGUGGAUGUUUCAGAGACAUUUAGCGAAAUAAAACGAGAGCCAACGGCGGACAGAUGCUGUUUUUUUUUUAUUAUUAUUAUCAGAGCCACGAUGGAGUAACAAGCCGGCGGCGGGGAAACUUGUGAUCUGUUCUGGAUGGAACCGACGGGUCUACAAGACGUUUUCAAAUGUAUAACACUAUCCAUUGCAGCAAUGGAGGAUAUUGGUCUCUCUCCCAAACCCACCAAUGACCCCCCAGUUCACAGACCCACAGUCUCUGAGACUUUCGGGCUGCAUCACAUCCCAGCAGACCAUCUGCAGGUCAGUGAUGCGAGCAGGAAAUCUGAGGUGGACAGAGAUGGAGCGUCGAGGAUAAGUUCCCAAUCUGUGAUCACAGCAGAGUCUCAGAUGAUUCCCCAGUUUCCUUUACAGAUCCCUUCACCUGUGGGUGCUGACACUACACUCCUUAAUACAGCUGCCAAAAACGGAAACACUAAUUUGGAUAAGGUAUGCGCAGCGAGAGCCAAAGUCAAAGUCACAGAUCCAUUCAAGUGGAAGCAAAACAAGCAGAAACAGCUGAGAAUGGAGGGAAAAGCAUAUGUAAGCAAACGCAAAAAAGACGGCGAGAUUGUAACCAAGCAGUCCAGAGCAAUGGGACCAAGAUGCACCUCGAAUGCAUGCAAAAAGGCAUCGAACCGGCUCUGCAGUGAAAUCACAGAAGAGGCGAGGAAGAGAGUGUUUGAUGAAUUCUGGCAGCACAUGAACUGGUCUCAGAGAAAACUGUAUGUGGCAGGACAAGUCGACCGCGACCCUGUGGAAAGAUCUCGGGCGGUGGGCUCGCAGUCUAGGAGAUCGGUUUCACUACGUUAUCACUUGAUGGUGGAGGGCAAAAGGAAGCAAGUGUGUAAGAAUAUGUUCCUGUCCACGCUGGGGGUUGGAGAGUGGUCUGUGCUCAACUGGGCGCAGAGAGGAAUCAAGAAAAAGACAGAAUCAAAUGAAAACAAGUCAGAAAAGCGGCUGCCUGUGCCUCGGUGCCCACAGUGGAUCCCUGCUCCUAUAGCUCUCAGCAACACUAUGGAAGUUACUCGGGAACAAGUGAAUCCCACUGACAAAGAACCAGAGGGGCCAAUCAGAAAGAAAUCCAGAGUGGCCAAGCCGCUAACAUGGAAACAAAAUCGACAGAAGCAGCUUAGGAUGGAAGGAAAACCGUACAUCAGCAAGCGGAAGAAAGACGGUGCAACUGUAACUAAAGCUCAGAGAACAAUGGGACCAAGAUGCACAUCCAGCGCCUGUAAAAGGGCAUCAAACCGCUUCUGUGCUGACUUCAGUGAAGAAGCAAGAAGCCAACUGUUCACUACUUUCUGGCAGUGUAUGAACUGGGCUCAGAGAAAGAUCCACGUGGCUGGACUAGUCGACUGCAAUCCGGUGGAAAGAACCCGAGCACCGUGGACACAGUCGAAAAGAUCAGUGUCGAUGCGAUACCAUUUGUUAGCCAACGGUGAUAGAAAACAAGUGUGCAAAAAGAUGUUCCUCUCCACUUUGGGGAUUGGAGAGUGGUCAGUGCUUAACUGGGCACAAAGUGCAUCCCAGCUGGACAAUUCCGCGGAAAACACUACGAAGCGAACACAGAGGAAGUCUCGUAAAGCCUCAGAGCAUGUUUUCCUGAAGGAGUUCCUCGAGAGUUUACCCAAAGUGCCCUCUUACUGCUUUGGGACGUCCGUGUCUAAGCUGUAUCUCGAGCCAGUCUUCUCAAACAUGUCGGAGGUGUACAGGCACUACUACAACCACUGCUUAGAGAAGAAGGCGACGCCGCUCUCUCGGCAGGUUUUCUGUGCCGUAUUUAAAAAGAUGGAUUUAGGACUGUGCGACUCUAAAAAGGAUCAGGCUUUUUCUUUUGGUACAACAGGAAAUAUAUUUAAUGAGCUCUGGGAGGAAUACUGUAUGGAAAGAGGAGCUCAAGCAGAGAAAACUGGUAACUAGUAGAGGAGGAUAAAUGUUGGAGAUCAUUGCUAUGUUAUUACCAGCUGAGUAUUCCUCCAUUCAAACAACUAUACUUAAUGAUCUUCAUUAUCUUCCAUUAAGCACAGGUAGUUGUUGUUUUUUCAGCAGCCCAACUGUCUCCACGCAGCUGAAACAGUUGUUUGACCUAAGUGUAAUAAUUUAAGCACUACAUCCGUUUUGUCCAAGUUGCUCCUUUGAAAUUUAAGUUAUUUUGAGACUCUUUGUCAGCCAUCAAAUGGCAUCACUGCAGAAUGUGUAAAAGAAUUUACUAAAACAUUCAUGUGCCAAUCUGCUGUUGUGAAUGUCAGUGAAUGUGAAUGCUCAACGUGUCUGAAAGGACUUGAAACUGCUCAAAGUAUUUAUUUUUCCUUGUGAAUUAAAUAGGAACACAUAACCGAAGCACUUUGCAGAAUCCUUUCGGAGUAAGAGCUUGAUUCAAGGAAACGUUUUUUUGAACUG